rnacentral:tRNA from 1 species
CGGUAUAGCACAGUUGGUAGUGCAACUGAUUUGUAAUCAGUAGGUCCGCGGUUCGAGUCCGUGUACCGG